AACGAACGCUGGCGGCAUGCCUAACACAUGCAAGUCGAACGAGACCGCUGACUUCGGUUGGCGCGUCUAGUGGCGCACGGGUGCGUAACGCGUGGGAAUCUGCCCUUGGGUACGGAAUAACAGUGGGAAACUACUGCUAAUACCGUAUAAUGACUUCGGUCCAAAGAUUUAUCGCCCAGGGAUGAGCCCGCGUAGGAUUAGCUUGUUGGUGAGGUAAAAGCUCACCAAGGCGACGAUCCUUAGCUGGUCUGAGAGGAUGAUCAGCCACACUGGGACUGAGACACGGCCCAGACUCCUACGGGAGGCAGCAGUGGGGAAUAUUGGACAAUGGGCGAAAGCCUGAUCCAGCAAUGCCGCGUGAGUGAUGAAGGCCUUAGGGUGUAAAGCUCUUUUGCCCGGGAUGAUAAUGACAGUACCGGAGAAUAAGCUCCGGCUAACUCCGUGCCA
rnacentral:rRNA from 1 species